rnacentral:rRNA from 1 species
AGGGGGGGCGUGCUAUACAUGCAAGUCGAGCGGACCGACGGGAGCUUGCUCCCUUAGGUCAGCGGCGGACGGGUGAGUAACACGUGGGUAACCUGCCUGUAAGACUGGGAUAACUCCGGGAAACCGGGGCUAAUACCGGAUGCUUGAUUGAACCGCAUGGUUCAAUCAUAAAAGGUGGCUUUUAGCUACCACUUGCAGAUGGACCCGCGGCGCAUUAGCUAGUUGGUGAGGUAACGGCUCACCAAGGCGACGAUGCGUAGCCGACCUGAGAGGGUGAUCGGCCACACUGGGACUGAGACACGGCCCAGACUCCUACGGGAGGCAGCAGUAGGGAAUCUUCCGCAAUGGACGAAAGUCUGACGGAGCAACGCCGCGUGAGUGAUGAAGGUUUUCGGAUCGUAAAACUCUGUUGUUAGGGAAGAACAAGUACCGUUCGAAUAGGGCGGCACCUUGACGGUACCUAACCAGAAAGCCACGGCUAACUACGUGCCAGCAGCCGCGGUAAUACGUAGGUGGCAAGCGUUGUCCGGAAUUAUUGGGCGUAAAGCGCGCGCAGGCGGUUUCUUAAGUCUGAUGUGAAAGCCCCCGGCUCAACCGGGGAGGGUCAUUGGAAACUGGGGAACUUGAGUGCAGAAGAGGAGAGUGGAAUUCCACGUGUAGCGGUGAAAUGCGUAGAGAUGUGGAGGAACACCAGUGGCGAAGGCGACUCUCUGGUCUGUAACUGACGCUGAGGCGCGAAAGCGUGGGGAGCGAACAGGAUUAGAUACCCUGGUAGUCCACGCCGUAAACGAUGAGUGCUA